rnacentral:rRNA from 1 species
AGUGAACGCUGGCGGUAGGCCUAACACAUGCAAGUCGAACGGCAGCACAGUAAGAGCUUGCUCUUACGGGUGGCGAGUGGCGGACGGGUGAGGAAUACAUCGGAAUCUACUUUUUCGUGGGGGAUAACGUAGGGAAACUUACGCUAAUACCGCAUACGACCUACGGGUGAAAGCAGGGGAUCUUCGGACCUUUCGCGAUUGAAUGAGCCGAUGUCGGAUUAGCUGGUUGGCGGGGUAAAGGCACACCAAGGCGACGAUCCGUAGCUGGUCUGAGAGGAUGAUCAGCCACACUGGAACUGAGACACGGUCCAGACUCCUACGGGAGGCAGCAGUGGGGAAUAUUGGACAAUGGGCGCAAGCCUGAUCCAGCCAUACCGCGUGGGUGAAGAAGGCCUUCGGGUUGUAAAGCCCUGUUGUUGGGAAAGAAAAGCAGCAGGUUAAUACCCCGCUGUUCUGACGGUACCCAAAGAAUAAGCACCGGCUAACUUCGUG